rnacentral:rRNA from 1 species
AUUGAACGCUGGCGGCAGGCCUAACACAUGCAAGUCGAGCGGAUGAAGGGAGCUUGCUCCUGGAUUCAGCGGCGGACGGGUGAGUAAUGCCUAGGAAUCUGCCUGGUAGUGGGGGAUAACGUCCGGACACGGGCGCUAAUACCGCAUACGUCCUGAGGGAGAAAGUGGGGGAUCUUCGGACCUCACGCUAUCAGAUGAGCCUAGGUCGGAUUAGCUAGUUGGUGGGGUAAAGGCCUACCAAGGCGACGAUCCGUAACUGGUCUGAGAGGAUGAUCAGUCACACUGGAACUGAGACACGGUCCAGACUCCUACGGGAGGCAGCAGUGGGGAAUAUUGGACAAUGGGCGAAAGCCUGAUCCAGCCAUGCCGCGUGUGUGAAGAAGGUCUUCGGAUUGUAAAGCACUUUAAGUUGGGAGGAAGGGCAGUAAGUCAAUACCUUGCUGUUUUGACGUUACCAACAGAAUAAGCACCGGCUAACUUCGUG